AUUGAACGCUGGCGGCAUGCUUUACACAUGCCAGUCGAACGGUAACAGGCCUUCGGGUGCUGACGAGUGGCGAACGGGUGAGUAAUGCAUCGGAACGUACCCAGAGGUGGGGGAUAACGCAGCGAAAGCUGUGCUAAUACCGCAUGUGAUCUGAGGAUGAAAGCGGGGGACCGAGCAGCAAUGUUUGGCCUCGCGCCUUUGGAGCGGCCGAUGUCGGAUUAGCUAGUUGGUGGGGUAAAGGCCUACCAAGGCGACGAUCCGUAGCUGGUCUGAGAGGACGACCAGCCACACUGGGACUGAGACACGGCCCAGACUCCUACGGGAGGCAGCAGUGGGGAAUUUUGGACAAUGGGCGCAAGCCUGAUCCAGCAAUGCCGCGUGCGGGAAGAAGGCCUUCGGGUUGUAAACCGCUUUUGGCAGGAACGAAACGGUGUCCGCUAAUACCGGGCGCUAAUGACGGUACCUGCAGAGUAAGCACCGGCUAACUACGUG
rnacentral:rRNA from 1 species